AACCAUUCUCACCUGCGGCUAGACCUGCGGAAGGAUCAUUACACAAUACAAUAUGAAGGCUGUCCGCAGCUGGAGUAUUUUAUUACCCUUGUCUUUUGCGCACUUGUUGUUUCCUGGGCGGGUUCGCUCGCCACCAGGACCACCAAAUAAACCUUUUUUAUGCAGUUGCAAUCAGCGUCAGUACAAACAAUGUAAAUCAUUUACAACUUUUAGCAACGGAUCUCAGAUCGGAAGAGCACA
rnacentral:misc_RNA from 1 species